ensembl:lncRNA novel transcript
GUGGAUGCUGCGAGGCUCGCAAGAAAUGGUGGCCCUGAGGGCGCUUUGGGAAUUGUGGAUCAGGCAUCAGUGUGAAGCUUCCUGCUUGUUUGGGAACGAUGGCGGAAGUCAUGAGCUUAUGUUGGGCGAGGAAAAUGAGUGCAAUGCACUAGGAACAUCCACUCUGUCUGCAAACCCAGAGCGUUCACACAGCACUCUGCUUUAUCUGAGACCUCCCAGCCAUGCCUUUCCAACGCCAUUCUACAGAUGAGGAAACUGAGGCCCUUACCGGCAAGAUUAAGUGACCGCCCACGGUCACACAGUCAGUCACCAGCUGAAAGGAACAGUGAGAAUCUGAGGGCUUAUGGUCCGAGCCCUCAGCCCUGUUUCUGCUCUAACUGGGUACAACCAGGCUCCCUCCGUGGCAGCCUCUCCUGGUCUGGCUCAGCUGAGCUCCAUGGACGCCCGCUGCUCUCAUCACUUCUGCCUCCUGCACUCUCUGCUUCCGGUUCUCUGAGUUUUGUGCUGUUCCGGUUUUGUUCAGGUUUAGCACAAGCUGUGAUGAAUAUCUUCAAGCCUCUGCUUCCUGCUGUGGAAUUGUUGCCAAAGGACACAUUCCCAGAUGGGAUUACUGAGUCAGAGGAAGUGGACAUUGAGUGGCUCUCAACAGACAGGCUGUGUUGCUCUCACAGUGCCCAGGUACCACCAGCAAUGUAUACACAUACAGGAAGCGCCGGCUUCCCUGUUGUCUUGUUGCUGUGGCGUGUUGGGGUCUCUAAGACCACCCUGGGUUUGUUGAUUGGCUAGGAGAACUCGCAGAACUCAGCAUACAGUGAUACUCGAGGCUAUGAUGUAUUACGACAACUGGAAAUGAAGCAAAUUCAGCAAAGGAAAAAGGCACAUGGGUCAAGUCCAGAGGAAAUGGAGUGUGAGGGUCCAAGACCCUCUCACAUGCUGGACGCGCCCACUUCCCCCAGAAGUGUGUUGGGACAACACGUGUGGAAUGUCAUUUGUCAGGGACACUCACUAGAGAUUUGGCACCGAGGGUUUUACUGCAGGCUAGUCACAAAGGCCCCCUCUGCCUAGCAUGUACCAAAAUUCUGGACUCCCAGUACGAAGACAUAAACCACAGUGUUUACACAGUUUAGGGGCAGUGAGCCAUUCAUAUCAGGGAAGGGCGGGAACCCUCCCCAAAUCCAAUUUCCCAGAUACGAACCAAGGGCCAACCUUGCAAGCAGUCCUUGCUAAAGAUAACAUUGCUAUAAUUUGUAUUUCUUUCAUUUUUCUUUUGAGAGUAAAUCAUUUCGAUAUAAAAUAAUGAGAUGGGACCUGGCCAUCCGAAGGUUCAUUCACUCUCAAGGCUGGAGGUUGAUGCCAGCUGUCGGCUGUGACCUCAGGUGGGUCUGGCGGCCAGCUGCGGCCCCUCCAUGUGGCUUGGGCUUCUCUCCAGUGUGAAGUGGCUGUGUUUCAAGGAUGAGGAACUGACAAAGAGGGAACCAGGUGGAAGCAGUGUCACCUUUUCUAUCCUAACCACAGAAGCCACCCUGUGCCACUUCUACCACAUUGUUUAUUAGAAACAAGUAUGAAUACUGGCCCAUAUUCAAAGGGAGGAGAAUUAAACUCCACUUUUGAUGGGAGGAGGAUCAAAUAAUUUAUAGAGGUUAUUUAAAACCAUCACAAACAUAUUAGAUUUGCCAUGUUUAGGCAUUUAUUCUGCAAAAAAACAUACAAAUGUGCAAAGUUACUUGAGGCUAUUUUCUGCAGUGUUAUUUGUGUUAGUUAAAAAAAAAAAGGAAACAAUCUAAAUGUCCAUCAAGGGUCAGGUGCAGUGGCUCACGCCUGUGAUCCCAGCACUUUGGGAGGCCGAGGCGGGUGGAUUAUCUGAGGUCAGGAGUUCGAGACCAACCUGGCCAACAUGGUGAAACCCCAUCUCUAUUAAAAGUACAAAAAAUUAGCCGGGCAUGGUGGUGCAUGCCUGUAGUCCCAGCUACUCGGGAGGCUGAGGCAGGAGAAUUGCUUGAACUCUGGAGGUGGAGGUUACAGUGAGCUGAGAUCGUGCC